CGACAGGCUUAACACAUGCAAGUCGAGGGGCAGCACAGGUAGCAAUACCGGGUGGCGACCGGCGCACGGGUGAGUAACGCGUAUGCAACUUGCCUAUCAGAGGGGGAUAACCCGGCGAAAGUCGGACUAAUACCGCAUGAAGCAGGGGCCCCGCAUGGGGAUAUUUGCUAAAGAUUCAUCGCUGAUAGAUAGGCAUGCGUUCCAUUAGGCAGUUGGCGGGGUAACGGCCCACCAAACCGACGAUGGAUAGGGGUUCUGAGAGGAAGGUCCCCCACAUUGGUACUGAGACACGGACCAAACUCCUACGGGAGGCAGCAGUGAGGAAUAUUGGUCAAUGGCCGAGAGGCUGAACCAGCCAAGUUGCGUGAGGGAUGAAGGUUCUAUGGAUCGUAAACCUCUUUUAUAAGGGAAUAAAGUGCGGGACGUGUCCCGUUUUGUAUGUACCUUAUGAAUAAGGAUCGGCUAACUCCGUGCCAGCAGCCGCGGUAAUACGGAGGAUCCGAGCGUUAUCCGGAUUUAUUGGGUUUAAAGGGUGCGUAGGCGGCCUUUUAAGUCGGCGGUGAAAGUCUGUGGCUCAACCAUAGAAUUGCCGUUGAAACUGGGGGGCUUGAGUAUGUUUGAGGCAGGCGGAAUGCGUGGUGUAGCGGUGAAAUGCAUAGAUAUCACGCAGAACCCCGAUUGCGAAGGCAGCCUGCCAAGCCAUUACUGACGCUGAUGCACGAAAGCGUGGGGAUCAAACAGGAUUAGAUACCCUGGUAGUCCACGCAGUAAACGAUGAUCACUAGCUGUUUGCGAUACACUGUAAGCGGCACAGCGAAAGCGUUAAGUGAUCCACCUGGGGAGUACGCCGGCAACGGUGAAACUCAAAGGAAUUGACGGGGGCCCGCACAAGCGGAGGAACAUGUGGUUUAAUUCGAUGAUACGCGAGGAACCUUACCCGGGUUUGAACGCAUUCGGACCGAGGUGGAAACACCUUUUCUAGCAAUAGCCGUUUGCGAGGUGCUGCAUGGUUGUCGUCAGCUCGUGCCGUGAGGUGUCGGCUUAAGUGCCAUAACGAGCGCAACCCUUGCCACUAGUUACUAACAGGUAAAGCUGAGGACUCUGGUGGGACUGCCAGCGUAAGCUGCGAGGAAGGCGGGGAUGACGUCAAAUCAGCACGGCCCUUACAUCCGGGGCGACACACGUGUUACAAUGGCGUGGACAAAGGGAAGCCACCUGGCGACAGGGAGCGAAUCCCCAAACCACGUCUCAGUUCGGAUCGGAGUCUGCAACCUGACUCCGUGAAGCUGGAUUCGCUAGUAAUCGCGCAUCAGCCAUGGCGCGGUGAAUACGUUCCCGGGCCUUGUACACACCGCCCGUCAAGCCAUGGGAGCCGGGGGUACCUGAAGUCCGUAACCGCGAGGAUCGGCCUAGGGUAAAACUGGUGACUG
rnacentral:rRNA from 1 species